UACGUAGGGGGCAAGCGUUGUCCGGAAUCAUUGGGCGUAAAGAGCUCGUAGGCGGCUCAGUAAGUCGGGUGUGAAACCCUCAGGCUCAACCUGGGGACGCCACCCGAUACUGCUGUGGCUAGAGUCCAGUAGGGGAGUGUGGAAUUCCCGGUGUAGCGGUGAAAUGCGCAGAUAUCGGGAGGAACACCAGCGGCGAAGGCGGCACUCUGGGCUGGAACUGACGCUGAGGAGCGAAAGCGUGGGUAGCAAACAGG
rnacentral:rRNA from 1 species